rnacentral:lncRNA from 1 species
GAUUGGAACCGUUCUUUCCAUGUUUAAAGACUUGCAGAAGGAAAAAAAGAGACACCCUUUUGACUGGCAGAGGGUCAAUUUUACCGUGUCGGGGCCGAUCAGUGGGUCAACGUAAAGGGUGUCAGGGUAGGCGGGGUUCUUGACGCUGGUUGAGGCCCACAGCAGCCGCUGUUUCUUGGCGCCCUUCUUGACUAGCGCCUCCCACCGGGGGCCGGAGAACUUCUUCUGGUAGAGCUUGAAGGCCAGCGCCGCCUGGGCCACAGCUGCCUGCACCGAUCAGAGGUGAUUAGGAUCGGCGCCCACUUGGGAACGGCCCCGUGUUGGCUGGCAUUCAGACAAACCUUCCCACGCAGGUUGAGAGCUUCGGGAGUCCCGAUCUUCUCGAGCAGCUUGUCGAUGAGAGUAUCUACCCGGCUCACGAAGAAGGACGCCACACUCGUGACCUUGGACAGGUCACUCAAUCCGCUGGCCUCAAGGCCGUCGAUGUAGGCGUCAAUCACUGC